AAUUGAAGAGCAAAAGAACGUGGUCUACCAAAUACCAUGUCAAGAUUGUAGUUGGAGCUACAUAGGCGAAACAGGAAGAUCCCUGAAGACGAGAAAGUCUGAACAUGUAAGGAAUGUAAAACACAGCAAGAAGGGAUCGAAUGUUGCAAAACACGCAUGGACUCAAGACCAUAUAAUUGACUUUGCCAAUGCUAAAGUGAUAGACAAGGG